AUAGUGUACCGCUCACAGUAAAUGUCAAAUGUAAUGAACUACCUACUGUGAUAGCCAUACAUGUUUCAAAUUAUUUUAAACUUUAUUACUAAGUUUAUGAUUUACAUUUUAAAAUGUAUAUAUGCGUACAAGUACGUACUCAAACAAUUAUCUCGUGUGAUAUUUUAUAAUAGCUUAUUGAAAAUAGAAGAUAAAGUAAAUAAUCGGAAAUACUGAGAUAAUUGUUUGAUUGAUUGUUAUAUUUGCGAUUUGGCUUCCGCCCGGUGGCAAGGAGUCCCGCUCCCCCUCUUCGUCUACUCGCUUAUUAUUAAUAGAACAAAGUCCGAAAAACACAGAAACAUUUGUCGCAUUCACAACAUUAUUUAAUAAAAACCACAUUAUUAUUUUGUGUGUUAACCCUUUUCCACAGUUUACAAUAUAGUUGUUUCAUAGGUAUUGUUUCUUUAAAAUGUACACAACCACACUGUCAUAUUUAAUAUUAUACCCUGGAAACAUUGAAGCAUUAGCAAAUUCCAUAGAGAAUAUUCAUAAUUUGUAAUUUUGAAAAUUUAAUGUACUCUGUUUUGUGACUGAAGAUACAAAUGGUAGGUAUACAUGUAAUUUCUUAUGAGAGUAGAUUUUUUGUUGAAAAAAUGUCUAAUAAUUAGUUUUUAAGUAGGUCUACUACUUAUGUUGCUUGAUUGUCUUGCAAAGAGGCAUUUAAUUUCUAUAGGAUUCAGAAAUACUUUGUAGUAAGCUCCGAGCUCUGCAAUGGGUAAUUUUUCCAUACUUAUAUUGUAUCCAAGUUUAUCCCUUUAUCCAGAUGGCAUGAUCUUGUAUGAUUGAUCCUGUGGUACAUGAUGCUUGCUGUUUUAAUUUAGUAUGUUGAAAGAUCCUGGACAUGUCAGAAAUAUUACAAUACAAACAAUGUUAGGAAGUAAAAAAUAAUAAUUAAUUUUCAGAUUUUUAUUUGAUCUGAUAAUACAAACAUAAUUCAUUAUUACAUCACAAUAUUUGUUAAAUUCAGGAUCUUUCAAUGUACUUAGUUAAAACUUCACUCAUCAAUGUACCAUAGGAUCAAUGUAAUCAGGAUCAUGCCAUUAGGAUCAAGAGAGAGACUUGGAUAUGCGAUGUGAAACUUUUAUCCUGCAGUGUAGUCAAAAGAAUUUGUGAGGUUAAAAGUGUUUAAAAAAUUCAAACAAAAUUGAAGUAAAAAAUAUUAAUUUGUUUCUCUUUGCCAAAUUACACAUUUUCCUAGACAUCAAGGACCAUCACAACUACCAACUUCCAAAAUUGAGUCUAAAUAAAAAAAAACUUAAUUAUAGUUACAAAUCACCUUAAAAAUAUGACUUUUUUACGGUUUUAUUAUUUUAUGACUUUCCAUAUUGUAUAUACAACUAACCUAACCAAUCUAGCUUACUCUCCCAGAAAAAAUGUAAGGAAUUAAUUAUUGUGAGAAUUUCAUUACUUUUAAUUUAAUUUACUUGUAAUUAAUGUAAAUGACCUAAUUUAACCAAUCUUUCACUUAAGCUAUGAUCACCUUGAAAUGAAAACACCUAGUUUCCUCAAAAAAAGAUCACUACAAAAUAUACACUUUAAGGAAAACUAUAAAUACUUAUUAUAAAAAUAUUACACAAUGCUUAAAAACUCACUUUUUCUAAUUAAUUAUCAACACUUUUUAUUGAUUGUGCAGACAUUAAAAUCUGUUGGGAAAAAAUGCAUUUCACCAUUAACUUAAUGAAGUAUUAAAAUAAAUAUGCAAUAUAAGCAAAUUCACUUAACAACUGCUCUUUAAAAUCAUUUUAAAAAACACCAAUGUCUACCAUGACCUGUUACAACCAUCAAAACCAAAAAUGAAUUUUCAAAUUACUUUGACUAUCAAAUGUAGGUAUCACUUUCGACAACAGAAAAGCAAGUUACAAUAAAAUUAACAGUAUUUAGAAACAUAAAAAUAAUUAAAAGUGCCACUAUUCAAAAGAUUUAGGCUAAUUAAUUCAUAACACAGUGAUCUCUUUAAUUAAUUUUAGGUGUAUAAAUUAUUAUUUUUUACCAGUUGCUACAAUUAGCAAAUAUUUAUUUUGUGUGCUUUUGACAUAAAUGAGAAUGACUUAAUGUCAUAUACAGUAUUGAAUGUGGCACUUCUUAAUUGCACACUCUUAUUUUAAAACAAAAUACUUGGGGGAAAAAACAUCUCUGUUUAAACAACUAGUUGGAGUAGGUAUCACAAAGUCUCUUUACAGAAUUAUCAGGUAUAAUAAAUAGUACUCAUAAAUACCAUUUAGGACUUCAGAAUUGUAUGUUUGUGUAUAUAAUAUUUUGAAAAAAUACCUUGGUUACUGUGUUUUUUAAUAAAUUGUGUUACAAAAUGGUUAUUUAAUAAAAUUUUAUUCUGUAUAGUCAAACUUAGUUGGCUGUGCAUCAUACGUACUUCUGUUUCAUACUGCUAUAGUGAAGAAGCCUUGAGAAUGGAUUGGAUUCAUUGCAACACUUGUUGGACACGUGUUGUAGAUGUGAAGAAUCUGACAUUUAGCAUCACGAGCUGUGGACAUAUCUUCUGUGAUAACUGCACUAAAACUGGUGAGCAAGUUUAUUUUCAGAGCUGAUAAGGCUAUGGGCUACUACCAUACAUUUUUCACACUGAGCAUUUUAUGCUUGUUUGAUAUUUGAAAACAAUUGUGGGUCUAGCAUGGAGUACAAAUUCAUUGAAGCUAACAAAAAAGAAUGAUGGUAAACUUUGUCUAAUUUUUCCUAAUGAAUUUUAUACUAUAUUUUUGAGUGGUUUUUAAAGCAUAGGUACUCUUUUAAUUUGUAAUUUGAAAUUCUUUUCAGAACUGUGCCUAUGAAAAGUUGUUUAAAUUGAUUGACUUAUAAUAAACUUAAAAGUUCAGGGAAACAAUUAAGUGGUAAAUGUUGGGCAUACACUUUUUAUAGUAGCCAUAUUAUUUUAUUUAUUUUAAUAUAUUUACUUGACAACAAGGAGGUUUUAUCAUCUAAUCACUACAAUGCUACCUGUGAAUUUAGACUAACCAGGUUGAGUCAGGUAACAGACCUGGCAAUGAUACAUGUCAGGUAUGUGGAAGAGAGUGUUCCAGACGCAUUCUGGAUUCAGAAGUUGGACACGACAUCCAACAGUUUUUCACAGAUAGUCGAGAAAUUUUGAAGAAAGCCUUGGAUGUGGUUUCAUUCCAAAAUGGUCAUCGUGAACGACUAAUGGGUUAUUUAUUUGGUGUUGUGGCAAAAUACAAAAUAUUGAAGAAAGAAACUGCUCGCCUAGCAGAUACUCUAAAUUCAGUGCAGAAAAAAGCAAAAACCUUUGGUCUCCAUACUUCUCCAAGCUGAUCACAUCUAAUAGGUUGUCGUUGAGACAGAACAAGCCUAACUCUGAGAUACGUGCCAGCCAGUCAUAUGCAUCACCACCCACUGCAAUGAAUUCUUACAGAGCGACAAACGUCGGCACACCAGUGACCCCGGUGACUGCCAAGAGCAGCCCCAGCUUCUCCGAUACGCAGUCUCCCCUCACUCCGGCGGAUCUCAAUUACAUUCGAUCAGGAAGGACAUCAAAUAUUUCUCCUACAGUGAUGAAUCUUAACACAUUGUCUUUGAAUUCACAACAGAAGACAAAUAAAAAGAUUGGUGCCAAGUACUUUCAGAGAACAGUUACAUAAAUCACAGUUGGACCUCAAGAGUUUAUGUAUUUCCUAUAAUUUCCCUAUGCUUAAUGUAUGAACAAGUACUUGUAUUGAUAAUUUUAUUUACUAUAUGUAUAAUUAGAUAGAAAUUUCACAAAUUCGCUCAAUCUCAAGCUAGAAUGCAAACCUUAAUACUCUUGCACUAAUGAUUGGACCACAGUUAUUUAGACACAUCCAUUUGCAACCAUGAACUAACAAUGCCCAGCUAGAAUAGAAGUAAGCGAAUCGGGUAGUGCCAAUUAAGAGAAGAAAAAAAGUUCAUACCAGCCAAUGGAAAAGCAAGAGCAAACAUAAGGUUUGAAUUUUAGUUUGAUGCCAAAUGAAUUAGCGAAAAUCCGGGUACAUAUGUACCAUAAUGUGUAGAUUAUAAAGUUUUGUUACUUAUUAAAUUUUGUCUAAUAUUUUCUGUUAUAACCAAAUCUAGAAGGCUGCAAAUUAGUAGGGGCUUGCACACGUCUUAUUUAGUAAUUUGGUGACUCCUUGUGGGGUCAAACAGUUUUGUUAAGAAAAAGUAACUGUAGAUAGAAAAUUAAGACUGCCCUGUAUUUUUUUUCCAUUGCUUUGUGUGCGCUAGCUUGUGUUUUUCUGUGUGAUCAUGUGUUGUGUGCCAGCCAGCGAAGCCUCGCUGUACUGACGCUGGUCUGUACGGGCUCGAUUCUGUUUGCUCUGUGUGGUCAGGAUCGCCAACAGGAUGGUCAGAUUAGUCUGGUGGAUGAAGUUUAUAAGUAAUAAAGUUGUUUAGCUUGUUAAGUGACAAUAUAUUUACACAUUUUCGUCAACUUGUCACAGUCCCACUUAGUACGUAUUCUUGUAUUUGAGAUAGUGACCAACAUAAACAAUAUGACAUACAUAAUGUCACCUCCUGGUUAUCCUCCGAGUUUGAAAUGGGGAAAUGCGGCACUGAAAGGAUGGGAGUGAAGCCUGUCAGUGGAUGAGGUGCUGUCCUGUUUUGGGAUGAAUGCCAGUAUACGUUAAUGGAAAGGGCCGUCCAUCAACUCACGGUUGGACAAGAGAGACUGAAGGGGUUGUGACUUGAUCACGUGAGAUGAAGACACAGAAGAGACUGAAUCUCGUCAAAAACUCCCAGACCGUCUGCCUUCGGAAUGCAAUGAUGCACAGUGAAAUACUAAUUCAACAAUUACAAAGUUUUCCUUCGUGGUAGGUGGCAUACUGUGCUUACCUAACCUGAGCAGUAAUCACGUGAGGCUCGUCACAAUGUCGCGCUUUUGUUUUGACUCAAUUGCGACACAAACAGGCUACUCUAAGAGUUAAUUAACAUUGAAACAUAAAACAUAAAAAAUAGAAGAUUAAUAUUAAACAAGAAUGGAGAGUUAACUGAAGGUGUGAAUGAAAUAAAUACUAAUAGCUGUGCAGUGCUGUGCAGCGUCUUGCUCCCGUGAGCUCCUGGGCACAACUGCCGCCUCCCUGGCACCCAGUGAGGCAGGAAGCGCGGCUUGAGGGUUGUGUGCAACACCUUGGCUUCUGACGUGAUUACGUGCUGGGUUUUCAGCGGCAAAGAACCACAAACAUUACAGAACUAAAUACACGUGAAUUAAAACAGGAUAAAAUUAAAAUGUCAGUUGUGGAGAAGAAUGAAAUGAAAAAAUUUACUGCGUAAUCACUGCUUCCAUAAGAGCAUUGCACUUGCACAGUUCAGUCACGUACGUGACACAGUGGGGUGGGUCGGAGGCUUAGCUUCAUUUAUAACAGCCUAGCGAGGGUCGGAAGGCACCGAGGAUGUGACGACGUCAAUAUGUAUGUAGGUAUAGUAAUAAUAAAUGCUGCAAACUUUGAGAAAUUUUCAUAUAGUUACUAGUUAAUAACUAAAAGAGUAAGUUAAAAAUUCCUCACUAGUGCCACUUUUCAAAAUUACUUCUCACAUAAGAUAUACCAAAAAUUUUAUAAGUAAUCAGUUUAAAGAAUUGUUAGUAAAAGUAUUUAUACUACAAAACUUUUGGCUCUGUAACAUUAUGUAUGGUCGAAUAGUUAUAUUGUGAAAAUAUAUGGUUUUUUAACCAUGUUGGUAAUCAUUGAACAAACUAUCCCAUAAGCUAACUAACACACAAACCUUUUCAAAUAAUUAUUUUUCUUAAUGCCUGCCAAACUAGUCACAACUUGUGACACAUAGCCCAUUACUAUGCAUUCUCGAUAAAUUUGAAAACCUCGUGAUUGAAAAAAAAUAUUCAGUUGAUGAUUUUUCAGUUCUUGUUGCAUGUUUUUUUUAAUCACCCUCAUUCUAAACACACUUAUGUUUUUUUUUUUUUUUCAGUAUAAUUAUUUACACAUGAAUGUUCCCCAUUGGUAUAUCCACCUUCAUCCAAAAUAUCCACUGAUAAUUCAUCAAAGCUAAAUUUUUUAUUGUGUGCAUAUGUAUUGUUUAUUGUAUAAUCUUAAUUCGGUGAUAACUUAGUACUUAGAAUGUGUGUUUGUAUACAAUAUUUAGAGACAUUGUCACAAAAUUUUGUUACUUAUUUUUGUAUUUAGAAUUUUUGUUUUUAUUGUGCUAAGUUUAAAGAGGCUUCCAUUAUUUAAAUGAAUGUAAGUAUUGAAAACUCAGAGAGCACUACUUGCAGCAGUAGUAUCAGCUAAUACAAAAAAAUUUUCCUCCAACUUACUAUGCCAAUUUGUUUUCACUUUAGUUUUAACCACCAUCUUUUUGGGUCUCUCCUAUCAUGCCUGUAGCUAUUUCUAAUUAUUCUUGCCAUUAGCAUUUUAUAACCAAAAUGAGCAGUUCCAAAUUUACUGGUAUUACAUUUGCAAAAAAAUAAAAUGGUUGACAAUGAAAAGCGUAAGGCAUUAGCUAACGAAGAUGCAUGUUAUAAACAAGAAGCCGUUUGAAUCCACCUGCAUUUACUUGCAUUGCACCUGCAUCAUAAAUUCUCAAAAACCCCAAUUUCCCUAUGCUGUUACAAUGAAUUAAAUUUUAUGUUUUGAUUGCAUUGAAUCUCUCUCUCUCUCUCUCUCUCUCUCUCUCUCUCUCUCUCU